rnacentral:lncRNA from 1 species
UGAUUGUCCAUUGAGGAAUCAAGUGUAAGUCCAUUCAUUGGCCUUUGUUCCUAUGAUUUGGUAGGAGUCGAGUGUAAGACCAUUUAUUGGCAACUUGUUUCCUUUUGCUUAUUGCAUGCUGUUUGUGUGUUGUAUGUGAGGAAUCAAUUGUAAGUCCAUUUAUUGGCAUUUGUUUCCCAUGAUCAUUUAUGUGGAGAUUAGAAUAAGUCCAGAUAGAUUGGCAUCUGAUAUCCAUGUUUUGUUUGUUUUGUGAGAUUGGUGUAAGUCCAGUUGAUUGGCAUCCGGUAUCCAUCCUUUGUUUUGUUUUAGGAGAUUAGUGUAAGUCCAGAUAGAUUGGCAUCUGAUAUCCAUGUUUUG